rnacentral:rRNA from 1 species
UCCAGACUCCUACGGGAGGCAGCAGUGGGGGAUAUUGCACAAUGGGGGGAACCCUGAUGCAGCGACGCCGCGUGGGUGAAGGAGCGUUUCGGCGCGUAAAGCCCUAUCGGCAGGGAAGAAGGAGGACGGUACCUGACUAAGAAGCCCCGGCUAACUACGUGCCAGCAGCCGCGGUAAUACGUAGGGGGCAAGCGUUAUCCGGAUUUACUGGGUGUAAAGGGGGCGCAGACGGCAGCGCAAGCCAGGAGUGAAAGCCCGGGGCCCAACCCCGGGACUGCUCUUGGAACUGCGCGGCUGGAGUGCAGGAGGGGCAGGCGGAAUUCCUGGUGUAGCGGUGAAAUGCGUAGAUAUCAGGAGGAACACCGGUGGCGAAGGCGGCCUGCUGGACCGUAACUGACGUUGAGGCUCGAAAGCGUGGGGAGCAAACAGGAUUAGAUACCCUGGUAA